rnacentral:lncRNA from 1 species
CAACACAGAAACAUAUGAUAUGGACGUAUCACAUUCUUUAUCAGCCUAAGAACAAAAGUUAGAUUAAAAUUAGAAUGGAUAAUUAGAAUACCUGCUGCUUAAACAGAUGGUGAAAAAACUUUGGAAAAGCUGGAUCUGAUGCUAACGGAUGGCUAAUGAUGGAGGAGCAACUUCACUUAUUUUAUGUACAGAAAGGAAGAUGGUUGGUAUCUGUGCAUUAAAAAUCCACCAGGAUAAUCUGAAAGAA